UACAGAGGUCCCAAGCGUUGUUCGGAUUCACUGGGCGUAAAGAGCACGUAGGUGGUUUGCUAAGUCAGAUGUGAAAUCCCUGGACCCAAUCCAGGAACUGCAUCUGAUACUGGUAAACUAGAGUAUAGGAGAGGAAGGCGGAAUUCCAGGUGUAGAGGUGAAAUUCGUAGAUAUCUGGAGGAACAACAGAGGCGAAGGCGGCCUUCUGGACUAUUACUGACACUGAGGUGCGAAAGCGUGGGGAGCAAACAGG
rnacentral:rRNA from 1 species